CCAUGACUUCACUUUCUCUUUAAGGCUAGUUCUGCACUGUCAUAAAUACUGUUGUAUUCCUUCAUGCCUGGUGUAACUUUGUUUCAGGUUACCCAGUCUUCUCCCUUCAUGUUGCAAACCACGGAGGGAAGUAUUUAUGCUGGCUUUAUACCUGCUGCAGGGGACCUCAGCCAGCAGGGUGAUGCUGAGAUAUGGACAUACAGAACCUGAUUGGUCAUGAAGUCUGUGAAAACAUCACCUGGAAAAAUCUUUUAUUCUUUCCUGCCUUACAUCUCUCUCUGCUGAUGUUUCUCCAUAGCCCUUACUUGAGUGAAGGAGACAGGGAGAAAACAGGGUACAUAAGACACAACAUGUGAAAUAUGGAGUUUUACUCUACAAAAUUACUCCUAGCUUCAGCAAUGCCUGUCUCACUUGCUGAGUUGCUGGAUUUAAUGCCUGUUGGUCCAAGACAACUCUUGAACCUUUGUAUGUUCUAAGUUUCACCACAAGGAGAUAUCUGUGAUGCUGCUUCUCCAUCCAGGGAAGAUUCGCAACCCUCAUAGCCAUUCCAUGAACGAGGCUGCUUGGAGUUCACAUCUCACCAUCAUCUUGAGGUACUACUGGAAGAUAUCUGUCUAGGCCAACAUUAGCAAAGGAAGGAAAUUACAAGAACAUAUGGGAGUACCUGUCUUUCCCCUCAAAUUCAAUUACGGUGUUUCCUAGCAUAUAUGGAAUACUUAUCAUCCUUAUCUGAGUGCUUCCUUCCAAGCUAUUUUAACAGUUCUGUGCAGAAUUGCCAGGUCACAGUGUGAACCAACAGCUGAGCACCAGGUGAGAAGGCAUGGGUAACCCAGGGAGCUCAGAUGCAAGAAAUGCACUUGAAUGACUGGAAGGGGUGAAGCCUGGAUCCAAUCCUCUUCACCCUCAUUUAAGGGUUAGCAGCCAAGGGAGUAGCAUCUUUUUGGAUAGAUUGCACUCCUAUUGAGCUGUAACUGGUUGCUGGAUGGGAUGUGCUAAUUUUCCUUCUUUGUUACCUGCUUUUGCUCCACGGUGCCUGUAUUCCAUUAGAAGGCACUGUCAUUGCCUUUUUUGGCCAUACACACCUGUUUAGCUCCAGUUAGUUCACAAGCUUGUGCUCAAAAGUAGAAGACUUAAAGUAAUGCAGUCACUUUUGUCCAUGGAGAUUUACAAUUUUAAGUUAUGCACUUGUUUUGGCUAUAAUAUAUAGGAAUGUAUAUGGAUUAUUCCUCCCUCGUAUAGAGUUCAAGAUCAUGGAAAAAUCAUUUUUAAAAAAUCUUGAAAAAAGAACGCUGUGAAAGGGCUUCUGUAAGCUGUCAUGUUACUGCUCUGUCCUAGUGCAAUAAUGAUAACCUAAUGUUAUCUAUUUCAGGGAGAAAAAAUAAUAACAUAAAACAAGGGAUUUCCUUUAACAAGAUGUUUUAUUGGAGCUUCAGGUCCCAGAACAAAAUUAUAUGCAAGAAAUCAAAUGAGUCAGUCUUAGGAAGAAAGGUAGUUGCUGCCUAUGGCAGAGAGUAGCAUGGGGACAGGUAUAUCUGGCUUGCUUUUCUCUGACCUUUGCCAGCAUGCUGCCUGGUGUGCCAUGCUUUUUUGUUGUAGCUGAAGACCUGCCACCAUUUUCAUGGUCUGUUUAGACAAAUGUCUUGAUAUGUACUGUGAUCUUUGACACCCUCCACCACCUCUACCACUAUCAUAUCUAAUCAUAGGAGAUGGCUAUUCCUCAUUUAUCUGCAAUACUGGUUCCCCAUUUCCUCUGUACUCCUGUCACUCCACUGGGACUGGUUUAAAUUCAAGGUGGUUUAGUUUAAGGUGAUGUGCCAAUCACAGGAGUGCACUUGUAUCUCAGUAACUCUACAAUUCUUUAUUCUGUUAUUAUCAGUUAGAAAAUGCCUGCCUCUAAGUCUUCUGUGCUCUGUGAAUUUGUAGCCAAUAUCCACCUCAUUUGCUUUUUU